ensembl:misc_RNA
AAAAAAUGGGUAAAGCAUGGGCAUAGACAGUACAGGAUUUCCUCACACACUGCCCUGCCAAUGUGCCUCAGCCUAGAUCUGAAGGAUCAACUUUAGGA